rnacentral:tRNA from 1 species
GGCUGGUUAGUUCAGUUGGUUGGAGCAUGGUGUUGCUAACACUAAGGUUGCGGGUUCAAUUCCCGUUCGGUCC